rnacentral:lncRNA from 1 species
GUUCGAACCACCACUUUUCCCCAUAAUCACGCUCCCAAAAAGUAAUUUAUACCUCCGUUUUAGUUGCUGUUUUCAUUUCAAUCGCUGCCCCCUUUGUGGGUUUUUUCCGCAGAUGUGAAAUUAGGGACGUAUGUUGCGCUGUUGUACGUUUAUUAGUUUUGCUUUCGCUUGUUUUGGAAGGGAUUUUAGCUAUUGAGUUUACAUGCACACCAGCUUACAGAUUGGGAGGAAUGACAUUUGAGAAAAUAUUAAAGACUCGAAUCAAGUCAAGCCACAGGUAGAGCCGAGGUUGACUUGAAAUUGUCAACCAAAGAGCAUGAAGACUCAAUUUCAGAAGAGGCUCAUAUUGUAGAGGUUAAACCAGGAGCUGUUUGUGUGUAUAGGGAUC